GGACGAACGCUAGCGGCGUGCCUAAGGUAUGCAAGUCGAACGGGGGAGCUUCGGCUCCCAGUGGCGAACGGUCGAGUAACACGUAGACAAUCUGCCUCCUGGGUGGGGGAUAACCGCGGGAAACUGCGGCUAAUACCGCAUGAGGCGACUCCGGGGCAUCCGGGGUCUGCUAAAGGAGCAAUUCGCCGGGAGAUGAGUCUGCGGCCUAUCAGCUAGUUGGUGGGGUAACGGCCUACCAAGGCGACGACGGGUAGCUGGUCUGAGAGGAUGAUCAGCCGGACGGGGGACUGAGACACGGCCCCGACUCCUACGGGAGGCAGCAGGUGGGGAAUCUUGCGCAAUGGGCGAAAGCCUGACGCAGCGACGCCGCGUGAGGGAUGAC
rnacentral:rRNA from 1 species